rnacentral:rRNA from 1 species
UGGGGAAUAUUGGACAAUGGGCGCAAGCCUGAUCCAGCCAUGCCGCGUGAGUGAUGAAGGCCCUAGGGUUGUAAAGCUCUUUCACCGGUGAAGAUAAUGACGGUAACCGGAGAAGAAGCCCCGGCUAACUUCGUGCCAGCAGCCGCGGUAAUACGAAGGGGGCUAGCGUUGUUCGGAUUUACUGGGCGUAAAGCGCACGUAGGCGGACUUUUAAGUCAGGGGUGAAAUCCCGGGGCUCAACCCCGGAACUGCCUUUGAUACUGGAAGUCUUGAGUAUGGUAGAGGUGAGUGGAAUUCCGAGUGUAGAGGUGAAAUUCUUAGAUAUUCGGAGGAACACCAGUGGCGAAGGCGGCUCACUGGACCAUUACUGCCGCUGAGGUGCGAAAGCGUGGGGAGCAAACAGG